GGAACUUGGCAAGUCCUGAGAAUGGUACUGUUGUUCAGUGUCCAGUUUGGAAUGAGAUAAAUGCAGAUGAUAGAAGCUUCUUUGUAGACAAUCAGAAUUUUGAUUAGACCCAAAAUGCACUAGAACUCCAUUUUUGCUCCAGUCUAAACAAAAGAUGCUUUUCUGAGCAAAUUUUAUUGGUUAAUUUCUUCUUACUGCAUUUUAUCAGCAAUCAAAAUAGCUUUAAGAAAUUAGCCCAUCUUUGCAAAUUGAUCCUAGAUGUCAAGAAUCAACUGAAAUUCACCGAAACAUUUACUAAAACUAUUCCCAAGUUUCAUAACUCUAGUUUAGUAUACAAUAUGACCUAAAAGCAUUAC
rnacentral:misc_RNA from 1 species